GUGCCAGCCGCCGCGGUAAUACGGAGGGUGCAAGCGUUGUCCGGAUUCAUUGGGUUUAAAGGGUGCGCAGGCGGGACAUUAAGUCAGGGGUGAAAGACGGUUGCUCAACAAUCGCAGUGCCUUUGAUACUGGUGUUCUUGGGUGAUGUUGAGGUAGGCGGAAUGGGUGGUGUAGCGGUGAAAUGCAUAGAUACCACCCAGAACUCCGAUUGCGAAGGCAGCCUACUGGACAUUAACCGACGCUCAGGCACGAAAGCGUGGGGAUCAAACAGGAUUAGAAACCCCUGUAGUCC
rnacentral:rRNA from 1 species